UGGGGAAUCUUCCGCAAUGGACGAAAGUCUGACGGAGCAACGCCGCGUGAGUGAAGACGGCCUUCGGGUUGUAAAGCUCUGUUAUUCGGGAAGAACGAUUCGUUUGUGAACAAUGAACGGAAGUGACGGUACCGAAAGAGAAAGCCACGGCUAACUACGUGCCAGCAGCCGCGGUAAUACGUAGGUGGCAAGCGUUGUCCGGAAUUAUUGGGCGUAAAGAGCGCGUAGGCGGUAUGGUAAGUCUGUCUUAGAAGUGCGGGGCUUAACCCCGUGAGGGGACAGAGACUGUCAUACUGGAGUCUCGGAGAGGAGAGCGGAAUUCCUAGUGUAGCGGUGAAAUGCGUAGAGAUUAGGAAGAACACCGGUGGCGAAGGCGGCUUUCUGGACGAGCACUGACGCUGAGGCGCGAAAGCGUGGGGAGCGAACAGG
rnacentral:rRNA from 1 species